rnacentral:rRNA from 1 species
GCAGCCGCCGCGGGAAUACCGAGGGUGCGAGCGUUAAUCGGAUUUACUGGGCGUAAAGCGUGCGUAGGCGGCUUCUUAAGUCGGAUGUGAAAUCCCUGAGCUUAACUUAGGAAUUGCAUUCGAUACUGGGAAGCUAGAGUAUGGGAGAGGAUGGUAGAAUUCCAGGUGUAGCGGUGAAAUGCGUAGAGAUCUGGAGGAAUACCGAUGGCGAAGGCAGCCAUCUGGCCUAAUACUGACGCUGAGGUACGAAAGCAUGGGGAGCAAACAGGAUUAGAUACCCCCGUAGUCCCUGUCUCUUAUAC